UUUAUCAAGAAAGGGGGUUUAAUUGGCUCAUAGUACCACAGGGUAUACAGGAAGCAUGGCUAGGGAGACCUCAGAAAACUUAAACAAUCAUGUUGGAAGGCAAAGGGGAAGCAGGCCGGUCUUAUGUAGCUAGAGUGGGAGGAAGAGCAAGAAGGGAGAAAAUGAGAGAACCAAAGAUAAGAAGGUAGAGUUGAAUAUAAAUACAGCAGAAAUUAAAUAAAUGUAAAUAGAUAAAUUUGCUAGAUAAGAGUCAGAGGCCUAUUAGAUAAAAUAAUAACAAACAAGAAAUUCAGCUUUUGCUAUUUAAAAAGGACACACUCAAAAUAAAUUUUCAUACAUUUUACUGAAAGAAAAUUGAAGGAAUUCAAUAUAUAUACAAUAAUAAUGAGCAAUACCAGAAAACACACGUUAAGACAAAGUGCACU
rnacentral:lncRNA from 1 species